rnacentral:rRNA from 1 species
GAGCUGGGUUUAGAACGUCGUGAGACAGUUCGGUCCCUAUCUGCCGUGGGCGCUGGAGAACUGAGGGGGGCUGCUCCUAGUACGAGAGGACCGGAGUGGACGCAUCACUGGUGUUCGGGUUGUCAUGCCAAUGGCACUGCCCGGUAGCUAAAUGCGGAAGAGAUAAGUGCUGAAAGCAUCUAAGCACGAAACUUGCCCCGAGAUGAGUUCUCCCUGACUCCCUGAGAGUCCUGAAGGAACGUUGAAGACGACGACGUUGAUAGGCCGGGUGUGUAAGCGCAGCGAUGCGUUGAGCUAACCGGUACUAAUGAACCGUGAGGCUUAACCUUACAACGCCGAAGCUGUU